rnacentral:RNase_P_RNA from 1 species
AGGAGAAGGCGGGCAGCUGACGGUAGGUCGAAAGACCGGCUGAGGAAAGUCCCCUCUCCUUGAGAAAGGUGGAUCGCGAAAGCGAUAGGGCGAGAGCCCUGGCAAGGGCGCAGAAACGACACAGCCCCGGUUCAAUGCGAUGAUCCCUUUGUGGGUGAGGUCUUCUGGGGAGUUGAUGAAACGGCGACACCCCACCGGAGCAAGCCCAAACGGCCGGAUCGAUUUCUCAUCGCCGGCGGGUAGGGCGCAUAGUCGAAUGCUGCCAAUCCCUUUACGGGAUCAACAGAAAGGGGCUUACGUCCUUCACCU